AGUGAACGCUGGCGGUAGGCCUAACACAUGCAAGUCGAACGGCAGCACAGAGGAGCUUGCUCCUUGGGUGGCGAGUGGCGGACGGGUGAGGAAUACAUCGGAAUCUACUCUGUCGUGGGGGAUAACGUAGGGAAACUUACGCUAAUACCGCAUACGACCUACGGGUGAAAGCAGGGGAUCUUCGGACCUUGCGCGAUUGAAUGAGCCGAUGUCGGAUUAGCUAGUUGGCGGGGUAAAGGCCCACCAAGGCGACGAUCCGUAGCUGGUCUGAGGAGAUGAUCAGCCACACUGGAGCUGAGACACGGUACAGACUCCUACGGGAGGCAGCAGUGGAGAAUAUUGGACAAUGGGCGCAAGCCUGAUCCAGCCAUACCGCGUGGGUGAAGAAGGCCUUCGGGUUGUAAAGCCCUUUUGUUGGGAAAGAAAUCCAUCUGGUUAAUACCCGGGUGGGAUGACGGUACCCAAAGAAUAAGCACCGGCUAACUUCGUGCCAGCCGCCGCAGUAA
rnacentral:rRNA from 1 species